GGGCCUAUAGCUCAGCUGGUUAGAGCGCACGCCUGAUAAGCGUGAGGUCGAUGGUUCGAGUCCAUUUAGGCUCA
rnacentral:tRNA from 1 species